AUUGAACGCUGGCGGUAGGCCUAACACAUGCAAGUCGAACGCGAAAGUCCUUCGGGAUGAGUAAAGUGGCGGACGGGUGAGUAACGCGUAGGAAUCUGUCCUGUAGUGGGGGAUAACGUUUCGAAAGGAACGCUAAUACCGCAUACGCCCUACGGGGGAAAGCGGGGGAUCUUCGGACCUCGUGCUAUAGGAGGAGCCUGCGUCGGAUUAGCUAGUUGGUGAGGUAAAGGCUAACCAAGGGGACGAUCCGUAGCUGGUCUGAGAGGAUGAUCAGCCACACCGGAACUGAGACACGGUCCGGACUCCUACGGGAGGCAGCAGUGGGGAAUAUUGCGCAAGGGGCGAAAGCCUGACGCAGCCAUACCGCGUGUGUGAAGAAGGCCUUCGGGUUGUAAAGCACUUUCAGUGGGGAGGAAAAGCUGGUGGCUAAUAUCCAUCGGCCGUGACGCUACCCACAGAAGAAGCACCGGCUAAUUCCGUGCCAGCAGCCGCCGUAACAC
rnacentral:rRNA from 1 species